AUGGCCUGGUCAGCCUGCUGCA
rnacentral:miRNA from 1 species